CUUCCCAUUUUUUUGCUGCAAUAGUCUCAUUAGUCUCAUAAAAUACAAGCAGUUAUAUGCAUGGGAUAAAAGAAUAUUGGGACAUUGUAAAUUGAGAGGAAGUAACCAUUUUCAUCUCUUCUGCAUGGAUAAGACAUUG